ensembl:lncRNA
GGGCACUGGUGUGGUGGGUUUAUGAGGCUCAGCCUCAGGCAAGCUUUCUGGUGGUGAGAGAGGAGCAUGAAGCUUGCAGCACUGCGGCUCUGCAGGUGUUGUGUGCUGUGCAGCAGCACGGUCACUUAUGCACAGUGCAAUGGGGACCUGGCUGCAGAUUUGCAGCUGGGUUCUGCUCAGGGUGUGUGGCUGCUCGGCCUCACUGCUGCUUUCCUGCACUGGAUGCGUGCACCUCCAGGAGUGUUGGUUCUUCUGCAUCUCAGGGAAGGAGACUCAUCCUCAUCUGCGCCCUUUUCAGCUGUGAAGGAAGUGUUGGUGCAGGGUCUCCAGGAGGGCCAUAGGUCCUAUGGGCCAACCUGGGCUCAUCCAUGCAGAGCUCCUCCUGGCGCAGUGUGUCUGCCAUAUCCCAGUUUCUCACACUGGAUGGGCUGAGCUGCACCACGGGGAGGUGUUGGGAAGCACAGCGGCUGAAUGUGCCACUCCAGAGGCCACUCACAGCCAGGGCGCAUCCCCAGACUGCUCAUUUCUGGGCUCUUACCACCCAUGCAAGCACCUCCAUGAGGCCAACGUGCCCAGCAGACUCCACCAUGCGGCAUUUCCCAGCAGAUCCCCCCAUGCUGCUUCUCCAGACUGCAUGUGCAGCUGCAAGCAGGAAUUCCCAGAGGAGCAGAAGAACUCUCCGGGCUCUGCUGUUAUCCUACAAGGCAUCAGCAUGGGGCCGGAUAAACCCAACGGAUCAAGGGCAGCUUGGCUGGUCAAUGGGAGGCAGCCAAAGCAAACAGCAGUGGCUCCCAGACCUCAACAGGAGCCCCUCGGUGGCUCACUGCACUUCAUUUGCUCUUUUGCUUUUAGGAGAAGGGGUGAGGUGUGGGGCUGGGCACGACGACAUGUGGGCUCUCGAGCGAACCCCCCAGGGCCGAUGGAAACUGCGUACCGCUCAGCACGCUGCGCACGUCAUUAGGAAAAUGUUAGUUAAAAGGAAGGAUGCAAAUGGUCCCAGGCUGUGCUUCCUGAUCACUCCGCAGUGCCUCUGUGACAUCAUGUGCUUUUGUUACGGCUCCGAAACGCCUUCGAUGCUUUUUCGGGCACGUUCCCUCCCGCUCUGUCAGGGCUGGUUCACAUUAGGAUGUUUGCUCAGCAGCUACUGGGGUUUUGGCAGGACGGCUGCUGCCUUCUGCUUGCAGAGCACGAGGGGAUCGUGGGAUGCUGCUGGACGUGUCAAAGUGGA